rnacentral:rRNA from 1 species
AGCGAACGUUUGCGGCGGGCUUAACACAUGCAAGUCGAACGGGCUGUUCCUUCGGGGGCAGUCAGUGGCGCACGGGUGCGUAACACGUAGGUAAUCAACCCUCUGGUUGGGGAUAACACUUCGAAAGGAGUGCUAAUACCCGGUAUGGCGCAGCGGUCUUCGGAUUGCGGCGAGAAAGACCCGCAAGGGUUGCCAGAGGACGAGCCUGCGGCCCAUCAGCUAGUUGGCGAGGUAACGGCUCACCAAGGCGAAGACGGGUAGCUGGUCUGAGAGGAUGAUCAGCCACACUGGAACUGAGACACGGUCCAGACUCCUACGGGAGGCAGCAGUGGGGAAUAUUGCGCAAUGGGCGAAAGCCUGACGCAGCCACGCCGCGUGAGCGAUGAAGGCCUCGGGUCGUAAAGACUCUGUGGGGAGGAGAAGAAUAAAGACCUGUGAAGAGCAGGCCUUGACGGUAGUCUCCUUAG